rnacentral:lncRNA from 1 species
UUAGUCAAAGUAUAUUUGUGAAUUUUGGAAUCCUAUAUUAAAUAAAUUGACAUGUAUAUUAAGUAUCAUUGUUAGUAUAGGGUUUAACUAAGCACUCUUAUUAAUUUGAAUGCAGGUAAUUUUUGAGGCAAACCAGAAUACGACCACAAACGAAAAUUCUUUCGUUGAUUAUCUUGAGAGUUGUUUGUAAACGCAAAGCUGAGAUAUUUGAAACCACUAGAGCAAUCUAAUAAUAGAGCUAAGUGCCAUGCAUACUUUGAGAACUAACUCUUGUUAUCAUUGUGCUACAACUCUUUAUUAGUUCAUCUAAGUGUGUGCUCGGUUUUGCUCUGGAUUGUUAAUAAGGUUAGACUUAUGUGGACGUUAUUUUCCUUAUAUCUGUGCGUGUGCAUGUCUUGGACAUAUCUGGUCAUCAUAGUGUUCCUGUCCUUAUUGGCAAUUCAAUGAAUAUUGUUUAUAUUCUAUUAUCUUUUAAUUGUCGAGCUUUACAGAUAGUAUUUUAGCAAUUUGAAGCAGUUUAAUGUUGUGAGUUCAAAAAUAUUUUUGGUGUUUGUUCCUUUAAUUCUAAUUAGUUUCAUUUCAUGUAUUCAGGAUACCAUAUGCAUUUUGAAGAGAUGGAAGGAUCUAAUGGUUUUCUUAUCUUAUGGUCAAGUUAAUAUAUGCAGUUUGGUUUCUUGCCACUACAUGUUUCUGGAUGGGCCAACUGGUUUGUUUUCGUUGGUUUUAUACUUUUAUGUUGUGUACAAGUUAUAAGAAAUGAAUCGCUACAUUCGAUAUGUCAUCAAUUUGAUUAUGAAUCAAGAUUUAACAUGUCAUCAAUUUUUUUAUAUGUCCAUGUAAUGGUAUUGUGUUAUCUAAAUUAUUUAGAUAUUAAUUGCAAUGCUUAGUAUGUUUUGCC